rnacentral:sRNA from 1 species
GGAGGCAGCAGUGGGGAAUUUUGGACAAUGGGGGAAACCCUGAUCCAGCGACGCCGCGUGGAGGACGAAGGUCUUCGGAUUGUAAACUCCUUUUAGUGGGGAAGAAAAAAAUGACGGUACCCACAGAAAAAGCCACGGCUAACUUCGUGCCAGCAGCCGCGGUAAUACGAAGGUGGCGAGCGUUACUCGGAAUUACUAGGCGUAAAGCGUAUGUAGGCGGUUUGAUAAGUCUCAAGUGAAAUUUCCCGGCUCAACCGGGACAGGCCUUGGGAUACUGUCAGGCUUGAGUGUGGCAGGGGGAAACGGAAUUCCUGGUGUAGCGGUGAAAUGCGUAGAUAUCAGGAGGAACACCGAUGGCGAAAGCAGUUUCCUGGGCCAAUACUGACGCUAAUGUACGAAAGCUAGGGUAGCAAACAGGAUUAGAUACCCUGGUAGUCCUAGCUGUAAACGAUGUUCACUAGAUGUGGGAGGUAUCGACCCCUUCCGCGUCGACGCUAACGCAUUAAGUGAACCGCCUGGGGAGUACGGCCGCAAGGUUGAAACUCAAAGGAAUUGACGGGGGCCCGCACAAGCGGUGGAGUAUGUGGUUUAAUUCGACGCAACGCGAAAAACCUUACCUGGGCUUGAACUGCUAAUGGUAAAAACCGGAAACGGCAAUGACCCGCAAGGGAGUUAGCAGAGGUGCUGCAUGGCUGUCGUCAGCUCGUGUCGUGAGAUGUUGGGUUAAGUCCCGCAACGAGCGCAACCCUUACCCCAUGUUACCUGUAGUAAUACAGGGUCUCUGAGGGAACUGCCAUUGAUAAAAUGGAGGAAGGUGGGGACGACGUCAAGUCAUCAUGGCCUUUAUGUCCAGGGCUACACACGUACUACAAUGGUCGGUACAGAGGGCAGCGAUACCGUAAGGUGGAGCAAAUCCCUAAAAGCCGGCCUCAGUUCAGAUUGUGGGCUGCAAUUCGCCCACAUGAAGUAGGAAUCGCUAGUAAUCGCAGAUCAGCAGGCUGCGGUGAAUACGUUCCCGGGCCUUGUACACACCGCCCGUCACACCACGAAAGUCUGUCAUAACAGAAGUCGUUGUGCUAACCGCAAGGAGGCAGGCGCCUAAGUUAUGGUAGGUGAUUGGGGUGAAGUCGUAACAAGGUAGCCGUACGAGAACGUGCGGCUGGAUCACCUCCUUUAUAAGGAGUAAACAUACGUUUCAAACUUUGGUUUGAACGGGAUGUUAACGGUCGUCCUUUAAAUUACUCAUUCGGAAUUGUCUUAUUUUUUUGUGGGGCGUUUCUCCACGUGUUAUUUAGCGUAGAUUUUGUUAUUGCAAUGCAAGAAAGGAGUUUGUUUUCAGCAAAGCAAUCAUUUUCUACAAUAAAUUUUUAUAGCGCGGGCUAUUAGGAGAUUUAGCGGGCCUAUAGCUCAGUUAGUUAGAGCGUACCCCUGAUAAGGGUAAGGUCCGUGGUGCAACUCCACGUAGGCCCAUUAGCACGUUAUAAAAUUUGACGGUGAUAGCGGCAUUUGUGAACGGGGAUAUAGCUCAGCUGGGAGAGCGCCUGCUUUGCAAGCAGGAGGUCGUCGGUUCAAACCCGUCUAUCUCCAUUUUACUUUGUCUUUUUUAAGUUUAUACCGCGUUGGAAACUUGGUCAUUUGCCGUAAUGUGUAAAAGUUUCUCGUUUUUUUAUUUAAACUUAAAACAUUUUGUAAAAUUCAAAAAGAUUUUUUCGGAUUUUUAUCCGUUAAAUAUAGAAACAAUAGUUCGUUGACAACUUAAUAGUAGAAAGUUUUUUCUAAUAGAGAAAACAGGUAAAUCAAGCGCCUUCAUUUAAUAUUAUUGUUGCGGGCUUGACCCGCAAGUUUUCGAUAUUAUUUGAGAACAACACAAUUAGCGAUUAAAAAUUAGAAAAAUGUCCGUUAUUUAAACGUUUGCUGCAAAACGGCGGAGGCCGUAGUAAUAGCAAGCGGGAUUAGAUAAUGUGACCAAGCUACUAAGUGCAUAUGACGAAUGCCUUGGCUAAGACUGUCGAUGAAGGACGUGGUAAGCUGCGUUAAGCUUCGGGGAGGUGCAAACAACCUUUGAUCCGGAGAUAUCCGAAUGGGGUAACCCUCCAUAUAGUAAUAUAUGGAAUCCGAAAGGAAGGCAACCCAGGGAAGUGAAACAUCUCAGUACCUGGAGGAAAAGAAAUCAACCGAGAUACCGGAAGUAGUGGCGAGCGAAACCGGUAAUAGCCCAAACCGUUGUGUUUACACAGCGGGGUUGCAGGACCGCGUAAGUAGAGUUACCAAUCAAGAAGAUAAUUGAACGGUUUGGAAAAUCCGACCACAGAAGGUGAAAGUCCUGUAAGUGAAAUCUUCUUGACUCGAAGCGGUAUCCUAAGUGCCGUCGGACACGUGAAAUCCGGCGGGAAUCCGGGGGGACCACCCUCCAAGGCUAAAUACAAGUCUUAGACCGAUAGUGAACUAGUACCGUGAGGGAAAGGCGAAAAGAACCGCGGGAGCGGGGUGAAAUAGAACCUGAAAUCGUAUGCAUACAAGCAGUUCGAGGCUUAUGGCGCAAGGGCAACUGAGCGCAAUGGCUGAGAGCGUGCCUGUUGAAGAAUGAUCCGGCGAGUUAUUGGUAGGUGCAAGGAUAAUUAUUAUGUUAACCGCAUAUUAAGCAUCCGUAGCGAAAGCAAGUCUUAACGGGCGAAUAGUACCUAUCAUUAGACCCGAAGCCAAGUGAUCUAUGCCUGGACAGAGUGAAGUCCCUUUAACCGGGGACGGAGGCUCGAAGCGUCGACCGUUGAAAAGGUCUUGCAUGAGCUGGGUAUAGGGGUGAAAGGCCAAUCUAACUUGGUGAUAGCUGGUUCUCCUCGAAAUAGUUUUAGGACUAGCCUUGAGCGUUAAACCGAAGAGGUAGAGCACUGGAUAGUUGAGCGGGUGUAACCCACUUUGCGAUGCUAACCAAACUCCGAAUUCUCCGGCGUAUUUCUCAGGAGUCAGUACGUGUGGGAUAAGCUUCACGUGCAAAAGGGAAACAGCCCAGACCAUCAAAUAAGGUCCCAAAAUAUAUGCUAAGUGGUAAAGGAUGUGGAAUUUCUUAGACAGCUAGGAGGUUGGCUUAGAAGCAGCCACCCUUUAAAGAGUGCGUAACAGCUCACUAGUCAAGUGAUUCUGCGCCGAAAACACCCGGGGCUCAAGCAUAUUACCGAAUUUAUGGAUUUUACGAGCAAUCGUAGAGUGGUAGAGGAGCGUUCCCACUACAUUGAAGGUAUACCGUAAGGAGUACUGGAGUUGUGGGAAGCGAGGAUGUCGGAAUAAGUAGCGAUAAGAAGAGUGAAAAUCUCUUCCGCCGAAAACCUAAGGUUUCCUUGAGUAAAGUUCGUCUGCUCAGGGUCAGUCGAUCCUAAGCCGAGAGCGAAAGCUGUAGGCGAUGGGUAUCAGGUUAAUAUUCCUGAACUAUAUUGUUGCCCAAAUGUGUUUGGUGCGCUUUUGAGUAGGUCAUCAUCCGAUUGGUUGUGGAUGUUGCUCCGCAAGGGGGAGGACGGCGGGUAACCGCUGGAACUGACUGUAUCGGGAGCCAAGAAAAGCCAAAUGCCUAUGGUUACAGUAUAAACGUACCGCAAACCGACACAGGUAGGUGGGGUGAAAAUCCUAAGGCGCGCGAGAUAACUUUCGUUUAGGAACUCGGCAUAUUAGCCCCGUAACUUCGGGAUAAGGGGUGCCCAUAGCAAUAUGGGUCGCAGUGAAAUGGACCUCGUGACUGUUUAACAAAAACACAGGACUCUGCUGAAAUCACAAGAUGAUGUAUAGGGUCUGACGCCUGCCCGGUGCUGGAAGGUCAAGUGGAGGGGUUAGCCGCAAGGCGAAGCUCUGAUAUUAAG